rnacentral:rRNA from 1 species
UACGUAGGGUCCAAGCGUUAAUCGGAAUUACUGGGCGUAAAGCGUGCGCAGGCGGUUGUGUACGUCAGAUGUGAAAUCCCCGGGCUCAACCUGGGAAUUGCAUUUGAGACUGCACGGCUAGAGUGUGUCAGAGGGGGGUAGAAUUCCACGUGUAGCAGUGAAAUGCGUAGAGAUGUGGAGGAAUACCGAUGGCGAAGGCAGCCCCCUGGGAUAACACUGACGCUCAUGCACGAAAGCGUGGGGAGCAAACAGG